CGGACGGGUGAGUAACACGUGGAUAACCUACCUAUAAGACUGGGAUAACUUCGGGAAACCGGAGCUAAUACCGGAUAAUAUAUUGAACCGCAUGGUUCAAUAGUGAAAGACGGUUUUGCUGUCACUUAUAGAUGGAUCCGCGCUGCAUUAGCUAGUUGGUAAGGUAACGGCUUACCAAGGCAACGAUGCGUAGCCGACCUUAGAGGGUGAUCGGCCACACUGGAACUGAGACACGGUCCAUACUCCUACGGGAGGCAGCAGUC
rnacentral:rRNA from 1 species